GAAAGAAGAGGGACCUACCCUAGAGGGAUAUGAUUUCCAUUUUCAAGGCGCAUUCAUCCUAUGCAGGGAGACAGCCUAACAUAAAAUUUGCCUAACAAAAAAUAUAUUAACAGGUGGAAAGACUAUCUCCCAGUUGAACAGCGGAUGCCUGGGACUCAUUUCAUUGCUUUCAAAGUUCCUUAAAAAAAGAGUUUUGAAAAGAAUCUUGCUCCAGAAGAACGUUUCUCCCCCUUGGAUCUCUUAACAAAAUCCAAGGACAGAAUGAAGAACUUGGGCUGAUUAUUGACUUAACAUAUACUCGCCGCUGUUAUAAGCCAGAGGACUUACCAGAAACUAUUCCUUAUUUAAAAAUUUGUACAAUUGGGCAUCAGGUGCCAGAUGACGACACUAGUUUUAAAUUCCAAUGUGCUGUUAAUGGGUUUCUGAAAGAACAUAAAGAUAACGACAGACUUAUUGGUGUCCACUGUACCCAUGGUUUAAACAGGACUGGCUACCACAUCUGCAGAUUCCACAUGCGAGUGAUAACAUACCGUAUUUGUCUUUCUCUGUUUGACUUAUUUCACUAAGCAUAAUAGUGUUGCAGCAAAAAUAGAAAUGAAGUUUUUCCUCUCCUGAAAAUAAGGAAAGUAAAGGGGACAGUGAACAGGCUAGAGAAGACACAUAAACUGGCCUGAAAGGGUUAAUCGAUCCUAGUUUUAUUUAAACUGUUACUGAUCUGUACUGUCUGUAACUAGAUGUAAGUUUCACAAAGCUAAAUUACAUCCUGUUCCUAUCACUCCCUAGCUGUCAGUGUAAAUUACAUCCUGCAUCUGGUGCUUAAGCUCCCUGCACUGUCUUGUAGCAAAUCACCCUGUGUAGCAGUUUGCAUUUCAGGAAGCAGAUGGCAGGCAGAUAAGGCAGAGGCAAAUGAACCCAAUUACCGGUCCGCCGGACCCAGUUACCGGACUGCCUGACGCCAGCGAUGCCGGUUUUGAAAUAAUGCAAGAAGAAGAAUGCAAGUCCUUUACCACUUUGAUCCUUAUUACCAGUCCCUGGACUGCGAUGGCCGCCCGAGGGGCCAGGAGGCCAGCCGGGUCUUCCAGGCGUGUGUGGGCAUCCUGUGUGCAGCCAGUGUCCCCGAGGCCACGCUCGGCCCAUCAUCACUGAGUGAAGCUGUGCCGCGAGAGCGCAGCCGACUUUUUUUCUGGCGCUGUGAGGACCUGUGCGCAUUGCAGGAUUCGGUGCCUCUGCCCGCCGUGGGCGCCUCCCUGUGGGAGGGCCUGCUGGACUUCAACACCCACUGCCUGCGCAGGGUGGACUGGGCACCACCCCUGAGCACCCUCUGCCCCUUAUCUGUAUCCAGAGCUCCUUCCAGCCAUGGCUUGGCGAGACGGGUUCUGACAAAUAAAGUUUCCAGAAGUUGUGUUCCUGCAAUAAGAAAUAAAGAUGUGACCUUCCAGUUGUGUAAAGCUCUUAGAUGCUGUGUAAAUGCGUCAGGUGUGCUAAGGAACCUGGAACUAAGUGGGCUAGUUGUGAGAGAAAGAGACGUAACUAUGUUAACAAAGGUCCAUCAGAAUUUCCUGUGACUGUGACAGUAGAGAGUCCUUCCUCCUCAGAAAAUGAAGAGGUCAAUGAUUCCUCAGAAAGUGUUCAGGAAGAGCCAGAGAAAAUCAGUUUGAAACAAGAAGCAUUGCCGGCUUGGGCAGCUGGCCACAAUGGCUGGUAUAGAUCAGUCAGAUUUUCAUUUACUAGGUCAUCCCCAGAUGAAUUCUACUGUUAGUAGUCCACGUAAAGAAGAAAAGAAGGCACUUGAAGAAGAAAAAUCAGAAUCAAAACAGGGUGCCCCAGGACAAAUGCAAAAUAUCCAAGUAAGUGGACAGAACAGCACUUAAUGAUUCUAAGAGUGAUUAGCAAAAAGGAAAUGACCAA